rnacentral:rRNA from 1 species
GGGUCAGUAGGUUGGUCGUGCCACCCGUACGUACUGGUCUCACUGAUUCCUCCUUCCUGAAGAACCGUAAUGCCAUUAAUUUGGUGUUGCGGGGAAACAGGACUGUUACUUUGAAAAAAUUAGAGUGCUUAAAGCAAGCUAACGCUUGAAUACAUUAGCAUGGAAUAAUGAAAUAGGACGAUCGAUCCUAUUUUGUUGGUUUCUAGGAUUGACGUA